rnacentral:misc_RNA from 1 species
UUCUGUCAACGUCUAUAUAUGUCUGUCUUUCUAUGUUUAUGUCUAUUUGCAUUUGUGUCUAUGUCUGUAUUUAUGUCUAUUUAUGUCAGAGUGUUUAUGUUUAUGUCUAUGUUUGUGUUGUGUCCAUCUAUCUCAUUUGUAUGUGUUUGUGUUUAUGUUUGUUUCAUUCUGUUUAUGUUUAUUUCUUUCUAUUUACGUUCGUGUUUAUGUCUGUGACGAUCAUUAUGUCUGUCCAUCUAUUUUUGUGUUUGUGUUUGACUGCAUCUUUCUCUGUGUUUGUUUUUGUUCAUCUUUGUUCGUGUUUGUGUCUAUAUUUGUUUGUGUUUCUGUUUGUGCAUGUAUGUCUAUGUUUGUAUGUAUAUCUAUUUCUGUCUGUAUGUGUCGGUGCAUGUGUCUGUGUUUGUGUCAGUGUGUGUUUGUACUUCUACUUAUGUUUGUCCGUAUGCAUGUUUGUGUCUGUAUCUAUGUCUGUCACAUAAACAAAAAAGAGAGAAUG